rnacentral:rRNA from 1 species
UACGAAGGGGGCUAGCGUUGUUCGGAAUUACUGGGCGUAAAGCGCACGUAGGCGGAUUUGUUAGUCAGGGGUGAAAUCCCGGGGCUCAACCUCGGAACUGCCUUUGAUACUGCCGUGCUUGAGGACUGGAGAGGAGACUGGAAUUUACGGUGUAGCGGUGAAAUGCGUAGAUAUCGUAAGGAAGAACCAGUGGCGAAGGCGGGUCGUCGUGGACAGUUCCUGACGCUGAGGCACGAAAGGCCCAGGGAGCAAACGGG